UGAGGAAUAUUGGUCAAUGGACGCAAGUCUGAACCAGCCAUGCCGCGUGAAGGAUGAAGGCCUUCUGGGUUGUAAACUUCUUUUAUUGGGGAAGAAAAUUACGGUUUCUACUGUAACCGACGGUACCCAAGGAAUAAGCACCGGCUAACUCCGUGCCAGCAGCCGCGGUAAUACGGAGGGUGCAAGCGUUAUCCGGAUUCACUGGGUUUAAAGGGUGUGUAGGCGGGCUGUUAAGUCAGUGGUGAAAUCUCCGGGCUCAACCCGGAAACUGCCAUUGAUACUAUCAGUCUUGAAUAUCGUUGAGGUUGGCGGAAUAUAUCAUGUAGCGGUGAAAUGCUUAGAUAUGAUAU
rnacentral:rRNA from 1 species